rnacentral:rRNA from 1 species
UACGUAGGUGGCGAGCGUUGUCCGGAUUUAUUGGGCGUAAAGCGCGCGCAGGCGGUUGUCUAAGUCUGCUGUGAAAUCUCCCGGCUCAACUGGGAGGGGGCGGCGGAGACUGGGCGACUGGAGGGACCUAGAGGCCGGUGGAAUUCCCGGUGUAGUGGUGAAAUGCGUAGAGAUCGGGAGGAACACCUGUGGCGAAGGCGAGUCUCUGGACAUUUCCUGACGCUGAGGCACGAAAGCCAGGGGAGCAAACGGG